rnacentral:rRNA from 1 species
UGGGGAAUAUUGCACAAUGGGCGCAAGCCUGAUGCAGCCAUGCCGCGUGUGUGAAGAAGGCCUUCGGGUUGUAAAGCACUUUCAGCGGGGAGGAAGGUGGUGAGCUUAAUACGCUCAUCAAUUGACGUUACUCGCAGAAGAAGCACCGGCUAACUCCGUGCCAGCAGCCGCGGUAAUACGGAGGGUGCAAGCGUUAAUCGGAAUUACUGGGCGUAAAGCGCACGCAGGCAGUUUGUUAAGUCAGAUGUGAAAUCCCCGGGCUCAACCUGGGAACUGCAUUUGAAACUGGCAAGCUAGAGUCUCGUAGAGGGGGGUAGAAUUCCAGGUGUAGCGGUGAAAUGCGUAGAGAUCUGGAGGAAUACCGGUGGCGAAGGCGGCCCCCUGGACGAAGACUGACGCUCAGGUGCGAAAAGCGUGGGGCAGCAAACAGGAUUAGAUACCCUGGUAGUCCACGCUGUAAACGAUGUCGAUUUGGAGGUUGUG